rnacentral:misc_RNA from 1 species
UCUCCGUUGGUGAACCAGCGGAGGGAUCAUUACUGGAAUCGCAAGAUCCCACAACCCUGUGAACCUACCGAAACGUUGCCUCGGCGGGCGCCCGGCCCCCGCGCCGGGCGCUGCGCCCGCCGGCGGCCCCCUACUCUGUCUCUGCAGCGUGGCAUCUCAGAGUCCCAGAAAACAAGUCAAAACUUUCAACAACGGAUCUCUUGGCUCUA